ACGACCUUACUUGUACAGGAUCUGUUCUAUAGGAUCGUACCGCUGCAUCCUUGACUAAUAAGGAGGCAAGCACUUAAGCCUGGUUGACGACUCAUGACCUGUGGGCCAGAGCGUGAUUAACGGCCAGGAUUGGAGCUUGUGAUGCUCCAUCUGCGGCUGUAGAGGAUCGUUCUUGGUCAGGCCUGCCUGGCUGGGGUGGCCCUCAGGUUGUCUGACAGGCU
rfam:Dichanthelium oligosanthes cultivar Kellogg 1175 unplaced genomic scaffold Do_version_2_scaffold263, whole genome shotgun sequence.